GUCGGCGCCAGCCGGGCCGCCCGGAUCGCCGGGUACAGACCGGCGAUCGCGCCGAUCACCACGGUGGCGCCGACACC
rnacentral:tRNA from 1 species